rnacentral:rRNA from 1 species
GCCGUUGUAGACUACGACGUUGAUAGGUUGGGUGUGGAAGUGUAGUGAUACAUGUAGCUAACCAAUACUAAUUGCUCGUUUGGCUUGACCAUACAACACCCAAG